rnacentral:SRP_RNA from 10 species
GCUGGGCGUGGUGGCGGGCGCCUGUAGUCCCAGCUACUGGGGUGGCUGAAGCAGGAGAAUGGCGUGAACCCGGGAGGCGGAGCUUGCAGUGAGCCGAGAUUGUGCCACUGCACUCCAGCCUGGGUGACAGAGCGAGACUCCGUCUCAAAAAAAAAAAUUUUGAGAUGGAGUUUUGUUCUUGUUGCCCAGGCUGGAGUGCAAUGGUACGAUCUCGGGCUCACUGCAAACUCUGCCUCCUGGGUUCAAGCGAUUCUCCUGC